rnacentral:rRNA from 1 species
UAGCUAGUUGGUGAGGUAAAGGCUUACCAAGGCGACGAUCUGUAGCGGGUCUGAGAGGAUGAUCCGCCACACUGGAACUGAGACACGGUCCAGACUCCUACGGGAGGCAGCAGUGGGGAAUUUUGGACAAUGGGGGCAACCCUGAUCCAGCCAUGCCGCGUGAGUGAAGAAGGCCUUCGGGUUGUAAAGCUCUUUCGGCCGGGAAGUAAUCGCAUGGGCCAAUACCCUGUGUGGAUGACGGUACCGGAAUAAGAAGCACCGGCUAACUACGUGCCAGCAGCCGCGGUAAUACGUAGGGUGCGAGCGUUAAUCGGAAUUACUGGGCGUAAAGCGUGCGCAGGCGGUUUUGUAAGACAGGCGUGAAAUCCCCGGGCUUAACCUGGGAACUGCGUUUGUGACUGCAAGGCUAGAGUACGGCAGAGGGGGGUGGAAUUCCACGUGUAGCAGUGAAAUGCGUAGAGAUGUGGAGGAACACCAAUGGCGAAGGCACCCCCCUGGGUCGAUACUGACGCUCAUGCACGAAAGCGUGGGUAGCAAACAGGAUUAGAUACCCUGGUAGUCCACGCCCUAAACUAUGUCAACUAGGUGUUGGGUGGGUAAAACCGUUUAGUACCGUAGCUAACGCGUGAAGUUGACCGCCUGGGGAGUACGGCCGCAAGGUUAAAACUCAAAGGAAUUGACGGGGACCCGCACAAGCGGUGGAUGAUGUGGAUUAAUUCGAUGCAACGCGAAAAACCUUACCUACCCUUGACAUGCCAGGAACUUGCCAGAGAUGGCUUGGUGCCCGAAAGGGAGCCUGGACACAGGUGCUGCAUGGCUGUCGUCAGCUCGUGUCGUGAGAUGUUGGGUUAAGUCCCGCAACGAGCGCAACCCUUGUCGUUAAUUGCCAUCAUUUAGUUGGGCACUUUAACGAGACUGCCGGUGACAAACCGGAGGAAGGUGGGGAUGACGUCAAGUCCUCAUGGCCCUUAUGGGUAGGGCUUCACACGUCAUACAAUGGUCGGUACAAAGGGUUGCCAAGCCGCGAGGCGGAGCCAAUCCCAGAAAGCCGAUCGUAGUCCGGAUUGCAGGCUGCAACUCGCCUGCAUGAAGUCGGAAUCGCUAGUAAUCGUGGAUCAGCAUGUCACGGUGAAUACGUUCCCGGGACUUGUACACACCGCCCGUCACACCAUGGGAGCGGGUUCCGCCAGAAGUAGGUAGCCUAACCGCAAGGGGGGCGCUUACCACGGCGGGGUUCGUGACUGGGGUGAAGUCGGAACAAGGUAGCCGUAGGGGAACCUGCGGCUG